rnacentral:rRNA from 1 species
AGAGUGAACGCUGGCGGUAGGCCUAACACAUGCAAGUCGAACGGCAGCACAGUAGGAGCUUGCUCUUACGGGUGGCGAGUGGCGGACGGGUGAGGAAUACAUCGGAAUCUACCUUUUGGUGGGGGAUAACGUAGGGAAACUUACGCUAAUACCGCAUACGCCCUUCGGGGGAAAGCCGGGGACCAGCAAUGGCCUGGCGCUGAUAGAUGAGCCGAUGUCGGAUUAGCUAGUU